rnacentral:rRNA from 1 species
AUUGAACGCUGGCGGCAGGCCUAACACAUGCAAGUCGAACGAGUGGCGGACGGGUGAGUAAUGUCUGGGAAACUGCCCGAUGGAGGGGGAUAAAUACUGGAAAAGGUAGCUAAUCCCGCAUACCAUCGGAUGUGCCCAGAGGGGAUUAGCUAGUUGGUGGGGUAACGGCUCACCUAGGCGACGAUCCCUAGCUGGUCUGAGAGGAUGACCAGCCACACUGGAACUGAGACACGGUCCAGACUCCUACGGGAGGCAGCAGUGGGGAAUAGUGCACAAUGGGCGCAAGCCUGAUGCAGCCAUGCCGCGUGUAUGAAGAAGGCCCUAGGGUUGUAAAGUACUUUCAGUCGGGAGGCGUUACCGACAGAAGAAGCACCGGCUAACUCCGUGCCAGCAGCCGCGGUAAUUC